CCCUUUCUCGUGAGCGCGCUCAGCACAUGGUUGAGGCCCUUUUAGCUCCCUGCAACUUCCCUCCCGCCCGGAAGUCUCAGGCUCCGCGCCCUUAGUUAGGGGGGCGGGGAAAGCCUUGGAGGCACACAAAGAUUCUUCCGAGUCUAGGGAUCGGCUAGCCUUCGAGGUGAAGCCCGACAAUUGCGCUGUUACUCCAGAAAGCAUCGCUCCAGGGCUGCUGCACGGAGGGGAGGGAAUGAGUUCUACCCUCCAGCCCGAUCAACUUUUGCUGUUUUUCUCCGUGCCCCUUGACUUCCUUAAAUUUAAGUUUCAGAAAGCUUGGACAUUGGCCGCAUCCUUAAUUCCUUGUGCAAGGCAAUCUUGAUCCUUAGUCGGCGGAAUCUAAGAUUAUGACAACCUAGUAAUGGAACCUUUGGCAAGAUCUACGAUACCUCGGUCGCUGCAGUCAAGGGAAGUCCGUGAGGCUCAUUUCUAGCAAGGAUUCGGGGGUGUUUGUUGAUACCGUGGUGGGAGUGCUGUACAUUGUAUGGUAGGUACCCAGCCUGGUGGGUAAGGCAGUUCAGUUAAGGAUAGGCAUCUGUCAGUUUUGGAGUGCUACUUCAGCCUGGAACGGUUUGGCUAGUUUUUCUUAUUUUAGAGCACUGUCCUGGAACAGGGCUUGGCUUGGCUACCGGUGUGGCUGCUCCCACCUGUCGGCCACUCUUGGAGUUCACAACUCUUUACUAUGGCCUCACGCCGUGAAGCCAUCCUAGGAGUUAGACCCACCUGUUGCCAACACUUGUUUAUGGCAGUCUCCGCAGGAUUUACAGGAGGACAGUAUUGGAUUUACGAAACGGUUCCCCGGUGUCGUAUCUCCUGGGGACACUCGACUCUAGGGAGGUUCCCUCUCCCCCUUUUGCUCUAGAAUGCGGUAAGACUAAUCCCACCUAACCUCUCAUGGCACAGCGAAAGCCUCCCCAAAGCAAGGUCGGCAUCGGGCCCACGCCUUACUAGUGAAUAAAUAAAAGAACUAGGUCUUUA
rnacentral:lncRNA from 1 species